UACGGAGGGUGCAAGCGUUGUCCGGAAUCACUGGGCUUAAAGGGCGCGUAGGCGGCUCAUGAAGUCUGUGGUGAAAGUCCGGGGCUCAACCUCGGAUCGGCCGUGGCGACUCGUGGGCUGGAGCACUGUAGAGGCGGGUGGAAUUCCGGGUGUAGCGGUGGAAUGCGUAGAGAUCCGGAAGAACACCAGUGGCGAAGGCGGCCCGCUGGGCAGUGGCUGACGCUGAGGCGCGACAGCGUGGGGAGCAAACAGG
rnacentral:rRNA from 1 species